CACGCGCUCCACUUCGCGUAUUGUCGGAUCGGUACGUCGUCUACGAAGAAGCUGCUUGUUGGAUUCAGAGCAUGGACACAAGAUUCCAAAACAAUAGUGCUCGUACAGACUCAGACAUGUUGUCGCAUCUGAUGCUUUCAAGCUAUCCUAAACAGAAAAGGCGCAAGAUUUCAGCCCCAAGACUACUUGACGGACGAACCUGACACAAUUUAUUGCACAUAUCUGCCUCAUGUACCUCUUGCUAUAAGUAAUCAACAGCGACAGCAAUAAAACGCCAGGAGCAAUUAAAAGAAUUGCAUAGUUGUGGAAGGCAACCGUCGGAUCAAACCAUAGAUGAAACUUCAUCUCCCUUCCUAUGAUCCUCCCAUCGCCGC